GCGGCCUGGACGUGUGGACGCCAGUUCCUCGUCCUGGAUGUGCAGCUGCCCUGUGACAUCCAGCUCCAGCCUGGCCCAGAGCAGCUGCAAGGGGAGCUGUCUGAGCCCAACUCCCGACGCCCAGUCCCCAGCCCAGCCUCCAGGGAGCCCCUCAGCAGCCAAGAGCAUCAGCUGCAAAGCUCAGUCCUACAAAUGCAUCCCCGACUGACUGGACAGUGCCAUGGGCAGGCAAAGCCAAGCACUUCCACCUCAGGCACUCAGCCAGACCGGCUGCAGAGUCCAGACCAGCUCGCGUGAGAGUCCUAUCCACUGGAAGCUGCGGCUCCCGAAUGGCAUUUGCCUCAGCCCUGGGUCCUCCUCUGCUUGUUUACAACAUUCUUGGCUCAGGCCAGAGUCUAGGACAGUGAUGGCGAACCUAUGACAUGCGUGUCAGAGGUGACACGCGAACUCAUUUUUUUGGUUGAUUUUUCUUUGUUAAAUGGCAUUUAAAUAUAUAAAAUAAAUACCAGAAAUAUAAGUCUUUGUUUUACUAUGGUUACAAAUAUCAAAAAAUUUCUAUAUGUGACACGGCACCAGAGUUAAGUUAGGGUUUUUCAAAAUGCUGACACGCCGAGCUCAAAAGGUUCCCCAUCACUGGUUUAGGAAGAUUCCCUUAGAUCAAGCGUGAUGGGCUGUCAGGUUGCAGGGUUCAAGACUCAAAAAGGAGCUGCAGCUCAUGGAACCCUGUGGAUAUUUGGAUGGAAUGAGGGUGGAUAGUGGUUUCCUGGUUCCAUCCAGACCCCUGGGCACAUAAGUUACUGCCAGACAUAGGCUUUCUCCAGCAGUUGUUGAGACCCUGCUAGAGGCCAUGCCACACCCACCCUGAGGCCUGUGUGCUAUAUGAACUUUGAAUUUCAGCUGCAGAACACCCCCUCAGAAACACAUCCAGGCCUGCAGGUCACCACAUCUGUAACUGCACUAUUCAGUCCCGUUAAAACAGACUCCCAGUUUGGUAGUCAGCAGGGAAAACUCCUGUCUGCCAUCUCCCCUCUCCUGAGUAAAAACUUCAUGUUGAUAAGCACACAGGAAAUGGCAAGUCUAGGAUUUUAUUUACACAGACUCAAUUAUAGAUAAGGCGCUUUCUAGGAUCCAGAUGCCUUCCCUGGAAUUACUUGGCUUCAGGUUUCUUGUCCCCGGCUUCAAGCUUGAGACUCUCAGGGGGCUGGCGAUAGGCAGGGAAAGCCUCCCAUGGGCUAUUCAGGUCAAACUUGCGGAACUCUUGG